AACAAGUUCUGCACUUUAAGCCUUACACUAAUAUGUAAACUUUACAGCGGUCUGCCAUACAAAUCGUCCAGGCUAUAACGUUACAGCGCUUUAACAUAACCGCCACUGUGAAGGUGUUAGCUAAAUCUGACCGAUCUUACAGCGCAGACCGCUCACAUUCGCGGAUUAGUGAUGGUGCUAGUAAAAGAUCGAGCACAGAAAACAACCGUGAGCAAACAUUCCUAUAACUACAACGCACAUCAGCACAUUAAAAUGAUGCACUGUCAUGAAACAGCCAUGACGUUAAAUGUUAGUGACGGAGAGGCUGCUACAUGUUGUCUGCAUUAAUGUCUGAGACACGGCUGACAUGACUGCAGCACCGCAUCCCCUCCGUGGCACUAACCGACAGAUACGCCAGCUAACAAGUUAACCGCAGUCCAUCAAAGAUCUCGGGCUAGCGUCUCGAUUGCAUGUACAAACGUCUACAAAAUUGAUAACAUGUCAUCGACAGGCUGUCACAAGUGUUCAUAAUGCAGUGACAGCUCUGCGUCCGCACGCAGUUAUAACUGGAGCUUCAGGGCUAACAUGCUAACGCGGAACGAAUACACACCAAGCUAGCAAGCGUUAGCUACAUGUUGUAAACAACCGUUGUGACUGGCUAACGUUGCAUGCCACGUAUUUAACGAAACAACCAGUACUUCUUUGUCGAAACAAGAGAGCUAACUCUUGUAACACAACACUCUGGAUUUAAAAGAAAAAUCCGUAAAGUACUGACGACAAGGGAAUUGUUUCGGGGAACUACAGUGAGAAAAGUCAACCACGAUGAUCACCUGCUCGGUCAGAUUUCACUGGUCUCUGUGUGCUUUCAUGUGUUUCCUGGUGUACACUUCAAAUCUGUUCUUUCUAUCACAACAGAGAGACUAAAGGCCAGCUGACAGAAAUGAACUCUUGGUUAUUGCAAGACAGCCAGGUGGUUAUACAGCAGGAUGGAUUUCUCUCAGUUGUUACGCUAAUGGAGAGCACCACAGUCGAUAAAUGACACUAACAAUUUCGUUCUGCUUGGGCUGCUGUAAUUGAAAAGUAACUGAUGCAGAACUAUAUAGAGCCUUUUUUUCAUCUCUGAUAUUUCGUUUCAUAGUUUCAGGCAUUCAGUUAGUUAUGAUUUGGCCUGUUUCAAAUGCCAACUUCCCCAUGAUGUUUGCUCACUGUGCUGUGUGACCGAUCUCAGAGUCUGUUAGAUGUAUACAAGAGAAUCUGAAAACAAACAAACAAUGACAAUAUCUCCCAGAACACAAUGGCAAUUGUUUUAUUUCAGUUACUGGAGCAGCAUUUUCGGCUGUUUUCAAUUCAAGUUACGUCUCCCAGUUCUAUAUUGAUCGGGGGAGAGUAGCUCGCUUCACUUUUCUGUGAGGAACUUUUCACAUUUAACAUUCAUAUACUUUUACAUAGGUUAAAUUCUGCAACAUUUUAAUAAGUGGUAUUAUAGAAGUUAGGGUUAAUUUGAGUUUUUUCAAGUUGAGCCGUGGUCAUCUGUGUUUAUCUAUGCACUGUUUUUUGGCAGCAUUGUACAAACUAUAACUGGGUGAGAGUGAUGGACAAGAGAUUUGAGCAGCUUCUCAACAAGUUGAACAGAGGAUUACUGCUAAUCUUAGCUUCUGUUCAACAGCUCUCCUGUCCUCAAGGCUGGGAUUGUCAACAUAAGGCUGCUCAGUUUCUGGAGCUUUCUGUCUUUGAAGUGGCCAGCAUUUUAAGGGGGACAACCCAGUAGUUGAAAGUCUUGCAUGAUGUUAUUCCUGCAGCCUAAAAAAGUCCCAUCAACAUUUAAUUUAUGGAUUUAUGGAAGUGCAUCACAGAUGGAAGUCUGCCUUGAGACAGUAAAAGUUGAUUUCUUCAUCAACUCACCACAGUCUCAGUUGUUUCCAUUUAAUUAUAACUGUCAUCAUAAUAAGACAGCAUAAUUUAGAGCACUGACUGCAAUACCACUGCUAACACACCUUCAUAUACUUUAUCUGAACUGGUCUUUAUAUGAUACUGUAUAUCAUAUCAGUCACUGUGAAACUUUUUUUUUCAUGAAACAAAAGCCUUAACCCAUAUUAACCCACUCCCUUUUCCUCACUGUGAUUAUUUCACAGUACCUUGCUCUGCUGAACCCUCUUCAAGUUCAACCAAGUCACAGUGCUUCAAUGAACAUUUCGUGCACAUUCAGUUUACUAUAUGAACCGUAAGGCUGAUGAGCCACUGUGGCAUCAGUUCCAGUAGUUAUUUCAUUUUCUUGAUUAUCUCUAAAAUGAUCAGUAAUAUACAACUCUGAUUCCAAAAAAUGUUGAGAUGACAUGUAAAACAUAAACAAAACAUAACUGAAUAGACAAGUUGCUAAUCCUUUUUGACACUCACCUGUUUGAAAAGGGCAUCAUCAAAAGGCUCACAAAAGCUCAGUAGUUCACAAGUAUGGGGAAAAAGUCCACCACUUUAAGAACAACAUUUCUCAAAGCACAACUGAAAAGAAUUUGGCUGUUUCUCUCUCUACAACCCAUAAUAUAAUU